rnacentral:rRNA from 1 species
UGGGGAAUAUUGCACAAUGGGCGCAAGCCUGAUGCAGCAACGCCGCGUGAGGGAUGACGGCCUUCGGGUUGUAAACCUCUUUUAGUAGGGAAGAAGCGAAAGUGACGGUACCUGCAGAAAAGGCACCGGCUAACUACGUGCCAGCAGCCGCGGUAAUACGUAGGGUGCAAGCGUUGUCCGGAAUUAUUGGGCGUAAAGAGCUCGUAGGCGGCUUGUCGCGUCUGCUGUGAAAUCCCGGAGCUCAACUCCGGGCCUGCAGUGGGUACGGGCAAGCUAGAGUGCGGUAGGGGAGAUUGGAAUUCCUGGUGUAGCGGUGGAAUGCGCAGAUAUCAGGAGGAACACCGAUGGCGAAGGCAGAUCUCUGGGCCGUAACUGACGCUGAGGAGCGAAAGCAUGGGGAGCGAACA